rnacentral:rRNA from 1 species
AUUGAACGCUGGCGGCAGGCCUAACACAUGCAAGUCGAACGGUAACAGGAAGCAGCUUGCUGCUUUGCUGACGAGUGGCGGACGGGUGAGUAAUGUCUGGGAAACUGUCUGAUGGAGGGGGAUAACUACUGGAAACGGUAGCUAAUACCGCAUAACGUCGCAAGACCAAAGAGGGGGACCUUAGGGCCUCUUGCCAUCGGAUGUGCCCAGAUGGGAUUAGCUAGUAGGUGGGGUAACGGCUCACCUAGGCGACGAUCCCUAGCUGGUCUGAGAGGAUGACCAGCCACACUGGAACUGAGACACGGUCCAGACUCCUACGGGAGGCAGCAGUGGGGAAUAUUGGACAAUGGGCGCAAGCCUGAUGCAGCCAUGCCGCGUGUAUGAAGAAGGCCUUCGGGUUGUAAAGUACUUUCAGCGGGGAGGAAGGGAGUAAAGUUAAUACCUUUGCUCAUUGACGUUACCCGCAGAAGAAGCACCGGCUAACUCCGUG